CUUUGGACAGGUUUUGAUAAAUCUCCCUUAGUAUGCUUAUAGCAGUGUUUCCCAACCAGGGUGCCUCCAGGGAGUUGUAGUUUUGCAACAGCUGGAGGCACCCUGUUAAGAAGCACUGGCUUAUAGAAACAUUUUAGACUUCAGAAAGGGCAUAUGAGCCCUAAAAUGUAACAUCAUCCUCUAGUAUCUAGGAGGUUGCAAAGUGGAAUUUCUGCCAAUCGAAGUGUCGUCCAUGGCGCAUCACCGCAUUAAACAUGAAUGGGUCAGUCACAAAAUGCACAAAUGUUCCAGCAAGUUUGCAGGUGAAGACAUCUCCGUAUUUUUUCUGCCUUGACCUGAGAAAGUCUAGAGGAUUGGAACCAAACUGCAAAGCACAUCCGAGUCAAAAGAGCCUACAAUCUCAGGAGAUCAAAACUAUGCUGCUGAAGCACCACGGACAUUUGAAUUAUUUACAUCAGGUUUGUACAAAGGACUGACCUGUUCUCCAAAAUCAAUACAUAUGUCUAAGAUCUAACAACCAUUCAGAAUCCAGAAAACAUGGAAUAAACUCAACUUUUAUUACAAAAAAACCAUGGAAAAAGGUUUAAAACAUCAUGGUAGUCUUUGCUUAGUUCAUUGUGGUCUGAAUAUAUCUGCACUGAAGAAGCUACUCACCUCUGUUCCAAGUUCUGAACUUUUAAAGGUUAAUCCAUCUUUACAAUAAGGGGGCAUUCACAUCCCGAUUAGUGCCUCUGAGGCAUGACAUAACCUCAAAAUCGUCUGCUGACACAUCCGUGCUCAGAAACACAUGAGCCCCAUUUAAACCAAUGACCUGAAUGUAAUCCCAUGAGCUUUGGCUUGUCAUUUUUUUCAGUCCAAGCAAAAACUCGGAUACACUGAGAAAAUGGCUCAAAUCUAGUAGACUAGGAAAGGUCAUUGGUUGCUUUGGGGCUUGUGCCAAUCCGAUCAUGGAAACAUUGGCAAUUUUGAGCUUUUGCUGUGAGAGUUGGAGUUGUUGUCUAUAGAUAAUCCUCUUUAUCUUUGUGAUCUCUUCUCAAGGAAAUAUAAGACAUAGUUCAUUUUGUAACUUUAAACUCUUGGCAGAGAAAAAUAAUGUACCAAGAAAAAUGACACCUCCUUCAGAGGUCAGAAUUACACUGAAACACCUGAUAAACCAACUCACAUUAUUGAUUCUAACUGCAUAAUUGUAAGAACUUACAACUUCUUCAUAGAUGAGAAACCCUAGACUCCCCAUAAAGCCUUGUGAAGCAUCAUAACCUUCUCAGUUAUAUU